rnacentral:rRNA from 1 species
UACGUAGGGUGCAAGCGUUGUCCGGAAUUAUUGGGCGUAAAGAGCUCGUAGGCGGUCUGUCGCGUCUGCUGUGAAAACUCAGGGCUUAACCCUGAGCUUGCAGUGGGUACGGGCAGACUAGAGUGCGGUAGGGGAGACUGGAAUUCCUGGUGUAGCGGUGAAAUGCGCAGAUAUCAGGAGGAACACCCGUAGCGAAGGCGGCACUCUGGGCCGAUACUGACACUGGAGGAGCGAAAAGCCGUGGGGAGCGAACAGG